GUAAGCAACGUGCCCUGAAGAUCGGGAUAUACCGGGGAAACCCGGAGCAAUACCGGAUGUGGUCGCACCUCGGCAUCGAGGGGCGAUUAAAUGGUUUUUCGCUUCAGGGCGGCUUACGGCCUAUCAGCUAGUUGGUGAGGUAACGGCCCACCAAGGCUUCGACGGGUAACUGGUCUGAGAGGACGACCAGUCCGAGUGGGACUGAGACACGGCC
rnacentral:rRNA from 1 species